UACGGGGGGGGCAAGCGUUGUUCGGAAUUACUGGGCGUAAAGGGCUCGUAGGCGGCCAACUAAGUCAGACGUGAAAUCCCUCGGCUUAACCGGGGAACUGCGUCUGAUACUGGAUGGCUUGAGUUUGGGAGAGGGAUGCGGAAUUCCAGGUGUAGCGGUGAAAUGCGUAGAUAUCUGGAGGAACACCGGUGGCGAAGGCGGGAUCCUGGGCCAGUACUGACGCUGAGGAGCGAAAGCGUGGGGAGCGAACAGG
rnacentral:rRNA from 1 species